rnacentral:misc_RNA from 1 species
GAGAUGCGAUAAGUCAUGUGAAUUGCAGAAUUCCGUGGAUCAUCGAAUCUUUGAACGCACAUUGCGCCCGCCGGUAUUCCGGGGGGCGUGCCUGUCCGAGCGGCCUUGCAACCCUCAAGCCCGGCUUGUGUGCUGGGUCGCCGUCCCCCCGUGGACGGGCCCGAAAGGCAGUGGCGGCGUCGCGGUUAUCCGAUCGCCUGGUGUAUGGGGCUCUGUCACGCACCACGGCCUGGACCGGCGCCGGCCGACUCUCCACUACUUUCUUAGGUUCACCUCGGAUCAGGUAGGGAUACCCGCUAAUCUUAA